rnacentral:rRNA from 1 species
AGGUCUUGACAUCCUUCUGACCGUUCCUUAACCGGAAUUUUCCUUCGGGACAGAAGAGACAGGUGGUGCAUGGUUGUCGUCAGCUCGUGUCGUGAGAUGUUGGGUUAAGUCCCGCAACGAGCGCAACCCCUAUCUUCAGUAGCCAGCGGUACGGCCGGGCACUCUGGAGAGACUGCCAGGGAUAAACUGGAGGAAGGUGGGGACGACGUCAAAUCAUCAUGCCCCUUAUGAUCUGGGCGACACACGUGCUACAAUGGCGGUUACAGAGUGAGGCGAACCCGCGAGGGGGAGCGAACCACAAAAAGGCCGUCCCAGUUCGGACUGUAGUCUGCAACCCGACUACACGAAGCUGGAAUCGCUAGUAAUCGCGAAUCAGAAUGUCGCGGUGAAUACGUUCCCGGGUC